GGGGGCCCCGCGUAGACCUGGAGUGGACACGCCCCUCCUUCCCUUCAUGAUUCGUUUGUAGCGCAGUGGCGAUGGAUGAUGAGGAUGGGAGAUGCUUACUAGACGUGAUUUGUGACCCACAGGCCCUCAAUGACUUCUUGCAUGGAUCCGAGAAGCUUGACAGUGAUGACCUCCUGGAUAAUCCCGGGGAGGCCCAAAGUGCCUUCUAUGAAGGUCCUGGGGUAAGUGCCGUGGCUCCCGAUCAUUGCCUGAGCUGUUGGGGCUGC
rnacentral:lncRNA from 1 species